rnacentral:rRNA from 1 species
AUUGAACGCUGGCGGCAUGCCUUACACAUGCAAGUCGAACGGCAGCACGGGAGCAAUCCUGGUGGCGAGUGGCGAACGGGUGAGUAAUAUAUCGGAACGUGCCCGGUCGUGGGGGAUAACGUAGCGAAAGCUACGCUAAUACCGCAUACGAUCUACGGAUGAAAGCGGGGGAUCGCAAGCCCUCGCGCGAUUGGAGCGGCCGAUAUCAGAUUAGGUAGUUGGUGGGGUAAAGGCUCACCAAGCCAACGAUCUGUAGCUGGUCUGAGAGGACGACCAGCCACACUGGAACUGAGACACGGUCCAGACUCCUACGGGAGGCAGCAGUGGGGAAUUUUGGACAAUGGACGCAAGUCUGAUCCAGCCAUUCCGCGUGCAGGAUGAAGGCCCUCGGGUUGUAAACUGCUUUUGUACGGAACGAAACGGUGAGCCUA